rnacentral:lncRNA from 1 species
CCCAACAACACCCAUGUGAACCCCAAAGUGAACCCCAAGAGGAAGCCCAACGUGAACCCCAAUGUGAACCUCAACGCCAACGUGAACCCCAAAAUGAAGCCCAACAUGAACCCCAACAAUGCCAAUGUGAACCUCAAAAUGAAGCCCAACAUGAGCCCCAACAACACCAACGUGAGCCCCAAAGUGAAGCCCAACGUGAGCCCCAACAACACCCAUGUGAACCCCAAUGUGAACCUCAACGCCAACGUGAACCCCAAAAUGAAGCCCAACGUGAACCCCAACAACACCCAUGUGAACCCCAAAAUGAAGCCCAACGUGAGCCCCAACAACGCCAAUGUGAACCCCAAAGUGAACCCCAAGAGGAAGCACAAGGUGAACCCCAAUGUGAACCUCAACGCCAACGUGAACCCCAAGGUGAACCCCAACAACGCCAAUGUGAACCCCAAAAUGAAGCCCAACGUGAGCCCCAACAACGCCAAUGUGAACCCCAAAGUGAACCCCAAGAGGAAGCCCAACGUGAACCCCAAUGUGAACCUCAACGCCAACGUGAACCCCAAAAUGAAGCCCAAUUUGAGCCCCAACAACGCCAAUGUGAACGCCAAUGUGAGCCCCAACGUGAACUCCAACAACACCCAUGUGAACCCCAAAGUGAACCCCAACGUGAGCCCCAACAACGCCAAUGUGAACCCCAAAGUGAACCCCAACAUGAGCCCCAACAACACCAACGUGAGCCCCAAAGUGAACCCCAAUGUGAGCCCCAACAACGCCAAUGUGA